AGUGAACGCUGGCGGUAGGCCUAACACAUGCAAGUCGAACGGCAGCACAGUAAGAGCUUGCUCUUACGGGUGGCGAGUGGCGGACGGGUGAGGAAUACAUCGGAAUCUACUUUUUCGUGGGGGAUAACGUAGGGAAACUUACGCUAAUACCGCAUACGACCUACGGGUGAAAGCAGGGGAUCUUCUGACCUUGCGCGGUUGAAUGAGCCGCUGUCGGAUUAGCUAGUUGGCGGGGUAAAGGCCCACCAAGGCGACGAUCCGUAGCUGGUCUGGGAGGAUGAUAAGCCACACUGGAACUGAGACACGGUCCAGACUCCUACGGGAGGCAGCAGUGGGGAAUAUUGGACAAUGGGCGCAAGCCUGAUCCAGCCAUACCGCGUGGGUGAAGAAGGCCUUCGGGUUGUAAAGACCUUUUGUUGGGAAAGAAAAGCAGCAGGUUAAUACCCCGCUGUUCUGACGGUACCCAAAGAAUAAGCACCGGCUAACUUCGUG
rnacentral:rRNA from 1 species